GAGACAGGUGCUGCAUGGCUGUCGUCAGCUCGUGUUGUGAAAUGUUGGGUUAAGUCCCGCAACGAGCGCAACCCUUAUCCUUUGUUGCCAGCGAUUCGGUCGGGAACUCAAAGGAGACUGCCGGUGAUAAACCGGAGGAAGGUGGGGAUGACGUCAAGUCAUCAUGGCCCUUACGAGUAGGGCUACACACGUGCUACAAUGGCGCAUACAAAGAGAAGCGACCUCGCGAGAGCAAGCGGACCUCACAAAGUGCGUCGUAGUCCGGAUCGGAGUCUGCAACUCGACUCCGUGAAGUCGGAAUCGCUAGUAAUCGUGGAUCAGAAUGCCACGGUGAAUACGUUCCCGGGCCUUGUACACACCGCCCGUCACACCAUGGGAGUGGGAUGCAAAAGAAGU
rnacentral:rRNA from 1 species